rnacentral:lncRNA from 1 species
GAAACUACAAUACACAUAAUUUCCUUCUUUAAGAGGACAAAACUUUUAGAUUAAUGACAAUAUACCAGCUGAUCUACUGUUGUGCCAAGCAUUAAAAGACUAAUAUAAAGGAGACACAGCAAGUAGACAUAAGCCAUGUGAUAAGAACAAGGAGAAGAGCUCUGUUCAGUGUUCCUAAUGCCAGGAAUACAUCUGGCAGCUGCUGCUCACUUGCAGAACAAAAGUAUAUAGAGUACAUGCUGUACGUCUGGGAGAGAGUGAACUUGUGAGAUGGACGGACUGAUGAUGACCUGCACUCACAGUA